GACGUAGGAGGCGAGCGUUGUCCGGAUUCAUUGGGUGUAAAGGGCGCGUAGGCGGCCAUCUAAGUCAGACGUGAAAUCCCCCGGCUUAACCUGGGAACUGCGUCUGAUACUGGAAGGCUUGAGUUUGGGAGAGGGAUGCAGAAUUCCAGGUGUAGCGGUGAAAUGCGUAGAUAUCUGGAGGAAUACCGGUGGCGAAGGCGGCAUCCUGGACUAACACUGACGCUGAGGCGCGAAAGCUAGGGGAGCAAACGGG
rnacentral:rRNA from 1 species